GAUUGUAAUGGUUAUUGAUAACGAAUAAAAGUUACGCUAGGGAUAACAGGGUAAUAUAGCGAAAGAGUAGAUAUUGUAAGCUAUGUUUGCCACCUCGAUGUCGACUCUACCUAUCCUCUUGGUUGUAACUGCUAAGAAGGGUUUGACUGUUCGUCAAUUAAAAAGUAACGUGAGUUUGGUUAAAUAUGAUGUAACUCAGUAUGGUUCUUAUCUACUAUUGGUAAUAUUAUCAACUUAAGUCUUGUUCUUAGUACGCAAGGAUCAGAAUGAACUAAUCCAUGGUGCAUCUAUUGAUUAUAUUAAUUCUUCUGCCCUACUAAUUAUAUUAUAUAGGGAAUCUAAGAAGAAUCUAUAUUAGUUUAUAUUUUAUAAUAUAAUCACAGUAGAUAAGCUAAAUUAGUAAAUAAUAAGUAUUGAAAGCAUAUGAAAUACAAAGUAGUCUUAAG
rnacentral:rRNA from 1 species